ensembl:lncRNA
AGAAAGAAUUAGAUUCAUCUGUUCAUUGCUAUUCUGAACACAGGACAGAGCACUGCAUAUUUUUGUGUGAGAGAAUUAAUCAGCGACGUUUGUCCUUAACAAGACUUAAUUAAGUAGCCUUUCGAUGGAUAUAUCACCAUUCUUCAAAGACCACAUGGAGUCGUUAACGGCAAACAAACAAACAGCCUUUUUCAAGGCUUCCAGCCUAUUUACAGGCAUCCCACCAGCCUUUUCCCCUUUCCCCUUUUUCUCGGGACUCCUCCCAACGGAUACAAGGUGAACAUGGCACUUUCUCGUGCCCGGGAUGAAGUGCACUACCUGAAAAGGAAGGUGAGCGAACUCAGUGCUCACACUGAAACUGGGAGGUACAGUUUGACCAACCUGUUUAAAGGCAAAGAUCUUGCCUAUGAGCAGACAAGAACAGAAAGAAGUUUUCAGACCACAUCAGGGAGAACAAGGGUUUGUCUCUGAAGCUCCACAGAGACCACCGAACAACUCGUUGUCCAAAAUGCUGAACCCACGGUCCAGCAGCAGGCCAACAACCAACGGUUGAAAGCAGAACACAAACUGCUAAAGAGCAAGACAGAGGCUCUGGCUGAGGUUAUCGGGGAAAAGAAGAGUUUGUUUCUGAAGCUCUUUGAGUACGGCGAACAACUCUUCGUCAAAAGUGCUGAACUCACGGUCAACAAAGGGACCUGGCAGCAGAAGUUGGAGGAAAAGACAUUCAAGGAACAGUCUUUGGAGUAAGUAACAGGGUUACUCUCCACCAACAUUUCUCUUCAAGAGGAGCUGCACAAGCAGCAGGCCAACAACCAGCAGUUGGUAGAAGAACACAAACUGCUAAAGAUCAAGACAGAGGCUCUGGAUGAGACUAUCAGGGAGAACGAAGGUUUAUCUCUGAAGCUCACCGAGACCACAAAACAACUUUCUGUCAAAAGUGCUGAACUCAGGGUCAACAACGAGACGUGGCAGCAGUUGGAAGCAGAAAACAAACUGCUGAAGACCCAGAGGGAUUCUCUGGCUGCUUUAAAAAAGAGCCAAGAGGAAACCCACCACGAGAUGGUCACUAGCACUGAGUUGUGCCUGAUCUCUAAGAUCCAACAAACGGAGGAUACCAUUCCCAAAGAACAUCAGAUCCUUAUCACCAGGAUCCAAGAAUUAGAGGACGACAAAACAGUCCUUGAAAACAUCUGCCUCGACUUAAAAAAACGGACCGGCAGACGGAGAUGGACAAAAUGAGGCAUAAGCUGCAGGACAAGGAGAUAAAGAAAUAGGAGAGAGAAGAAAAAGCAGACCAUCCAGGACGUCAACAUCAACGUGCCUGAGACUGGACACCUGUAAGAACACCUUCCUUCACCUCCCACUCCAUCCUACCUCAUCCAUCUACCCUGAAAAAAAAAAAAAAAAGAGAUCUGAAAAAAAGAGAUCUAAAAAAGAAAGAUCUAAAGAAAAAAAAGAUCCCAGAGGGAUUCUCUGGCUGCUUAUUUUUUUUACAACCUAAUCAGAGGUUACCCACCACGAGAUGGUCACAAGCAGUGGUUUCACUGCGUUGUGCCUGAUCGCUAAGAUCCAACAAACGGAGGAUACCAUCCCCAAAGAACAACAGAUCCUUAUCAGCAGGAUCCAAGAAUUAGAGGACAACAAAACAGUCCUUGAAAACAUCUGCCAGUACUUAAAAAAAAAAAAAAAGACCGGCAGACAAAGAUGGACAAAAUGAGGCAUAAGCUGCAGGACAAGGAGAUAAAGAAAUAGGAGAGAGAAGAAAAAGCAGACGAUCCAGGACGUCAACAUCAACGUGCCUGAGACUGGACACCUGUAAGAACACCUUCCUUCACCUCCCACUCAAUCCUACCUCAUCCAUCUACCCUGAAAAAAACUAAAAAAAGAUCCAAAAAAAAAAAAGAGAUCUGAAAAAAAAGAGAUCUAAAUAAGAAAGAUCUAAAAAAAAAAAAUAAAAAAAAAAUACCAUCCCCAAAGAACAACAGAUCCUUAUCACCAGGAUCCAAGAAUUAGAGGACAACAAAACGGUCCUUGAAAACAUCUGCCUGUACUUAAAAAAAAAAAAAAAAGACCGGCAGACAGAGAUGGACAAAAAUGAGGCAUAAGCUGCAGGACAAGGAGAUAAAGAAAUAGGAGAGAGAAGAAAAAGCAGACCAUCCAGGACGUCAACAUCAACGUGCCUGAGGCUGGACACCUGUAAGAACACCUUCCUUCACCUCCCACUCCAUCCUACCUCAUCCAUCUACCCUGAAAAAAACUAAAAAAAGAUCUAAAAAAAAAAAAAGAGAUCUGAAAAAAAGAGAUCUAAAAAAGAAAGAUCUAAAAAAAAAAAAAGAUCCCAGAGGGAUUCUCUGGCUGCUUAUUUUUUUUACAACCUAAUCAGAGGUUACCCACCACGAGAUGGUCACAAGCAGUGGUUUCACUGCGUUGUGCCUGAUCGCUAAGAUCCAACAAACGGAGGAUACCAUCCCCAAAGAACAACAGAUCCUUAUCAGCAGGAUCCAAGAAUUAGAGGACAACAAAACAGUCCUUAAAAACAUCUGCCUGUGCUUAAAAAAAAAAAAAAGGCCGGCAGACGGAGAUGGACAAAAUGAGGCAUAAGAUGCAGGACAAGGAGAUAAAGAAAUAGGAGAGAGAAGAAAAAGCAGACCAUCCAGGACGUCAACAUCAACGUGCCUGAGACUGGACACCUAUAAGAACACCUUCCUUCACCUCCCACUCCAUCCUACCUCAUCCAUCUACCCUGAAAAAAACUAAAAAAAGAUCUAAAAAAAAAAAAAAGAGAUCUGAAAAAAAAGAGAUCUAAAAAAGAAAGAUCUAAAAAGAAAAAAAGAUCCCAGAGGGAUUCUCUGGCUGCUUAUUUUUUUUACAACCUGCUCAGUCUUGCACAUUUCCCAUACCUCAUUUCUGCCUUAUUUUUAUUUCAUGUACAUUUAUUUAAAUAUUGUUUUGUUAUUUUUUAUUUUGUAAUUGGUUGGCUUUAAUUAACUGUACUGUUAAUUUAUAUUGCACACAUUUCAUUUCAUUUUUUUUUUUACAACCUGCUCGGUUUUGCACAUUUCCGCUUACCUCAUUUGUGCCUUCUUUUUAUUUCAUGUACAUUUAAGUAAAUAUUGUAUUUUUAUUUUUGUUUUUAUUUUAAAAUUGGUCGGCUUUAUAGAAAAGGCGAGCACCACGAGCUGGUCACAAGCAGUGGUUUCACUGAGUUGUGCCUGAUCUCUAAGAUCCAACAAAUGGAGGAUACCAUCCCCAGGGACCUCCCACUCCAUCCUACCUCAUCCUUCUCAAAUAACAAUAAAGGAAAUGUUUACCCCAAUCUGCUGUCUACUGGUUAUCACUAGAUUGUACUUACAGACCAACUUAUUUUACUGUUUACUACAGUGAUUCACUUAUUUUCACUUAUUACACAUGUAGACAUUAGUAAUUGAAAUAUAUUAACUUGGCUGUUGUUGUUGUUCCUGUUUAUGUUGCUGCUGCUUUUCCAUGAUGUUGAGUACAAUCUUCUCAAUAGAAGCUUGUGUCAGCAUCUGAACAGGUGGAGGUGGGUGAACAAUUGCAACAGACAUCGUAACAACUGGCACACUAGUGGUCUCACUCACCUCUGUCAGAGAGUUUCUGCCUCUCUUGCAGUUUUUCUGGACUGACGUUUAAAGAGGAACUGGUGUUCAACAAUUUGCUGAGGUGCUUUACAUAUUGUAGAACAUGUAGUUUUGUUGUUGGGUGGAGCAUGCUGUUGGGGUCUGUACAGGAGUUGUGAACUAGAGCAGCGUAGUCCUGGUCCACAAGCUUCAGUGUGUCUUUCUGCUCAUGGGUUUUGUUGAGCAGCUGGUUGAUAACUGCCAGCGACGGCGGACGUAGAGUUUCUACAGGAACAAAAGACGGAGUAUAAUAAGUCAUUCUGACCUAUAGAAUCAAAUACUUGUAUAAUAAAUAUAAACUUUCAUUAAAAUCUCAUGAAAGACUGGUAUUUGUAUGUGAAUGUUUAUUCAAUAACACCCUUAAUACAUUUUCACAUCUUGUAAAAAAAUCGAAAAGUGACACAAAGGUAUGGAGCAAACUGGAACAACCUUGAUGGUGCCAGUGAGGAUGACAGAGGAACCUCCGACUAGGUAGCGAGUGGAUCACUUUGAGGAGGUGGAUUCGGGGCCUGGGUGUGAUCUGUCUUGCUGUUCUGCUUGUCCCAGUCCAGAGGAACUGAGCAAAGGAACUGUACAGGGCGUGAUGCUCCGACACACACUCACGGAGGAACCGCCUCAUGCAGUGAAACAAGUCCAGC